CCUGGAAGGAAAAACAGAAGACAGAAAACAGAAGACAAACAAAAGCCAGCCAGGCACGCCAGGCACCCCAGCCACAACACAGGCAAAUACACUUUAGAAAUGAUGACCUCAGACACCUACUUCAGUGUUUAAUGGACAGGCUAACAUAUUAAAAGAAAUAACGCUGAAAAUCAUUAGGUACCUGCAGUGAGGCUAAACAAUGUGACUAGCUUAACCUAGCUUGUUAAUUGCAGCAUUAGCAACAGACUACAGAGUAAAAUAUAACCAUAUUCGCUAGAGAGGAGGUAAAUAUUUUGCUGGGUAGUUUAUACUCUAAUUGUUGGCAUUACACUUUAGUUUAAACAGUGGUUGAUGGACAGGUUAAUAGUGUUUUCACUGACGUCAGCAUUAUGGGCAUUACCAGCCAUUUUGGCCAUCUUGGUGGGAUCAUCAGGUAAACAAUAGAUAGGGGAAGCAUACGUUCUACUCUCUCCAAUCAUGAAAGUUCACGAAAACGUUGCAAAACUUUGUGAAACAGCUGGGAGAUGUAGAGAUAGAGUCAUCCCGCUAUAAGAUGAAGAUGAAGUUAAUUGGUGAUGAAGAUCCAUAUGAGUGCCAUCAUCUGUGUGGCCAGAGACUCAAGAGUCACUGCCUGGUGUUACCUACAUGACACGGUGAAUUAUUUAUUAUUUUCAUGGAGCCCUGUCAGAGGACUUCAAAAACCACAAAAGCUUGUAUAUGUCUAUAACCAGCUUGUUUGUGGCUGGGUAUGAGAAAAAAGUGUCAUGGAUUGUGCCGGACAAAUGGAAAAGUAAUGCUAUCAGCACAUCCACAGCGCAUGGAUUACCUUCAUUGUUCUCCCUUAAUGUUUCCUGCUGUUCUGC